rnacentral:rRNA from 1 species
GACGAACCACACAAACGUUAUUCGGAAUUACUGGGCUUAAAGGGUGCGUAGGCUGUGCGGAAAGUUGGGUGUGAAAUCCCCCGGCUCAACCGGGGAAUUGCGCCCAAAACUACCGUGCUUGAGGAAGACAGAGGUGAGCGGAACUUCGGGUGGAGCGGUGAAAUGCGUUGAUAUCCGAAGGAACACCGGUGGCGAAAGCGGCUCACUGGACCGGAACUGACGCUGAGGCGCGAAAGCGUGGGGAGCAAACAGG